AUUGAACGCUGGCGGCAUGCUUUACACAUGCAAGUCGAACGGCAGCGCGGGCUUCGGCCUGGCGGCGAGUGGCGAACGGGUGAGUAAUGCAUCGGAACGUGCCCAGUAGUGGGGGAUAGCCCGGCGAAAGCCGGAUUAAUACCGCAUACGACCUGAGGGUGAAAGCGGGGGACCGAAAGGCCUCGCGCUAUUGGAGCGGCCGAUGUCGGAUUAGCUAGUUGGUGGGGUAAAGGCUUACCAAGGCGACGAUCCGUAGCUGGUCUGAGAAGACGACCAGCCACACUGGGACUGAGACACGGCCCAGACUCCUACGGGAGGCAGCAGUGGGGAAUUUUGGACAAUGGGGGCAACCCUGAUCCGGCCGUGCCGCGUGCGGGAAGAAGGCCUUCGGGUUGUAAACCGCUUUUGUUCGGGAAGAAAUCCUCUGGGCUAAUACCCCGGGGGGAUGACGGUACCGGAAGAAUAAGCACCGGCUAACUACGUG
rnacentral:rRNA from 1 species